UUUAGCUUGAGGUACAGAAUUGCUUCCAACCUUCUUUAAGAUAGUUUCUUGUAUCCAUCUCCUGUCUCUACAAUAAUUACCAUCCAUUCUAUGUCUAUACAACUUUUAUUAAUGUUUGGAUCUUGCCUCCAAGUCUUUAUUGUCCUUUCUAAUACUAAUGUAUCUCUACAACAUCAGAAUGUUUUCCCAAAUGUUCGCAGUUACAUUUACAUAUAGGGAGCAUUUUAGCUUCUCUGGUGAAAGGGGAGAAAAUAAAGCUGGUGAAUGGUUUUCCCUGUUAUAUUGUGGAAGUUGUUUUUAAUUUUAUUCUUACUAAUUAAAUUUUGACAAUUUCACACAUUUGUAUAAUGCAGACUGGCCACCGUCACCUCCCACCUUCUGCUACCCACCCUGCUACACCUGGCUAUGCCCUGUCUUGUAAAUCUCUUCCUCUGUAAUGUCUGUUCCAGGGCCUUCCAAAUUUAAGCAGAGCCAUCUCUGUGACCAUGGGUUGGAGUUAUCCAUUAGAGUCUGAUGGGCUCAUUAGAGGGUACAAAACUGAAGACAUCUAGGCACUAUUUUAUUAGUCAAGAAUGGAGUCUCUCCCCACUUUGGUUAUAAGCUACAGAGAAAUGAAAACAAAAGAGUGCUUAGCCAUGAAAAUACAUUUCCAUCUACCAUAGAGGGCGAAACGGAAGUGAUAAAUGCCUAGAACCACAGACACAUUUUUCAUCCUAGCAGCCCUGGUUAGUUCUUCAUUGGAAGAAAACUACUGCCUACAGAAGGGAUGAAAAAAAGGAACGAGACAUUAGCUAAGAGCUUGGAAACGUCAACAACGUUCUCCAGCAGUAUCCUCAAGCAAGUCUUGUGUUGUUUGAAGGGAAUACAAGCGUGAUGUUUGCAGGUCUAGGAUAGUGAUGAGACCUGCUCUGAGAGUAAGAAUUUGAAUGGACACCUGUCUGACUACAGCCCCUGCAAGGUUUUUUUAUCCUAAAACUAAAAACAGUGAAUUAAGGUUCUCCCUUAAUUCCUAAAAAAAUGUUCAACAUACAGUUGAAAACUCAAAAAAAAGAUACAGAAAGAAUUCUCUGGAAAUGUCACUCUGGAGAUUGAUAGAAUGUUCAAUAUUUCUAUUAAAGUUGUUAUCUGCAUGUGUGUACAGGGCAGUGUGUCAUAUAAACCUAUUUUUAAUGAGACUAUAUGUACAGUUUUUUAUAUCCUUUUUCACUUUGCC
ensembl:lncRNA